rnacentral:rRNA from 1 species
UCAAGUAAGUAAGGGCGUACGGCGGAUGCCUUGGCCAUAUCAGCCGAAGAAGGACGCGAUAAGCUGCGAUAAGCUGCGGUGAGGUGCAAGUAACCUUUGACCCGCAGAUCUCCGAAUGGGGAAACCCGGCAGCAGUAGUGCUGUCAUCCUCUAUGAGGAAGGGCACCCGGUGAACUGAAACAUCUAAGUAGCCGGAGGAAAAGGAAUCAACAGAGAUACCCCUAGUAGCGGCGAGCGAACGGGGCAGAGCCCAAACCGGGAUGGGAAACCAAUCCGGGGUUGUGGACUGCUAUCAAAUGCAUGAGUGAAGCAGAAUGAGCUGGGAAGCUCAGCCAGAGAGAGUGAGAGCCUCGUAGGCGUAAGCGAAUGCAUGGAGCAGGAUCCGGAGUACCACGGGACACGAGAAACCCUGUGGGAAGCUGGGGGGACCACCCUCCAAGGCGAAACACUGAUAUGGACCGAUAGCGCAUAGUACCGUGAGGGAAAGGUGAAAAGAACCCCGGGAGGGGAAUGAAAGAGAACCUGAAACCGUAUGUCUACAAGCAGUCGAAGACCUUUAUAUGGUCGACGGCGUGCCUAUUGAAGAAUGAACCGGCGAGUUACUUCAGCUAGCGAGGUUAAGCAGAAAAUGCGGAGCCGCAGCGAAAGCGAGUCUGAACAGGGCGUAUAGUUAGUUGGAGUAGACCCGAAACCACAGUGAUCUACCCAUGUCCAGGUUGAAGCACAGGUAAAAAUGUGUGGAGGACCGAACCAGUGAGCGUUGAAAAGCUUUUGGAUGAGAUGUGGGUAGGGGUGAAAUGCCAAUCGAACGUGGAGAUAGCUGGUUCUCCCCGAAAUAGCUUUAGGGCUAGCCUCAUGGCGAGAGUACAGGCGGUAGAGCACUGAACGGGGUAGGGGCCUAUCCGGCUACUGAACCUAAUCAAACUGCGAAUGGCUGUACUUAUCCAUGGGAGUCAGACUGUGAGUAAUAAGGCCCAUAGUCAAGAGGGAAACAGCCCAGACCAACAGCUAAGGUCCCCAAUGCCGUACUAAGUGGCGAAGGAUGUGGAAUUUCGAAAACAACCAGGAUGUUGGCUCAGAAGCAGCCACCAUUAAAAGAGUGCGUAAUAGCUCACUGGUCGAGAGACUCUGCGCCGAAGAUGUCCGGGGCUAAAGUACGGAACCGAAGCUUUGGCAAUUAACAUAAGUUAAUUGGGUAGGGGAGCGUUCCUGCAUGGGAGAAGCCUGACCGGAAGGACAGGUGGACAGGCAGGAAGAGAGAAUGCCGGUAUGAGUAGCGAAAAGAAGGGUGAGAAUCCCUUCCACCGAAAGCCUAAGGGUUCCUGGGCAACGAUCGUCGUCCCAGGGUAAGUCGGGACCUAAUCCGAGGCGGAGACGCGUAGGAGAUGGACAACAGGUUGAAAUUCCUGUACUGGCUGAGGCCGUUUGAGCGAAGGAGUGACACAGGAAGGAAGGCGCGCGUGCGAUUGGAAGAGCACGUCCAAGCAGGUAGGUCGGGAGACAGGCAAAUCCGUUUCCCAGAAGGCCGAGAUGCGAUGGGGAGCUUCUGGAGACAGAAGCGAAGGGGCUGGCACUAAACUGUCGAGAAAAGCUUCUAGUGAGGACUCAGGCACCCGUACCGAAACCGACACAGGUAGGCAGGAUGAGAAUUCUAAGGUGCGCGGGAAAACCCUCGUUAAGGAACUCGGCAAAAUAUAUCCGUAACUUCGGGAAAAGGAUAACCCAGCGUACGUGAAGUGCAGAAACGCAUGGAGCGGAGAUGGGUGGCAGAAGAGAGGCCCAAGCGACUGUUUACCACAAACACAGGCGUCUGCUAAAGCGAAAGCUGAUGUAUAGAUGCUGACACCUGCCCGGUGCUGGAAGGUUAAGAGGAAGUGUUAGCGCAAGCGAAGCAGUGAAUUGAAGCCCCAGUAAACGGCGGCCGUAACUAUAACGGUCCUAAGGUAGCGAAAUUCCUUGUCGGGUAAGUUCCGACCCGC